rnacentral:rRNA from 1 species
UUGACCUCAGCUCAGUCGUGAUUACCCGCUGAAUUUAAGCAUAUAACUAAGCGGAGGAAAGGAAACUAACGAGGAUUCCCCUAGUAACGGCGAGUGAACGGGGAAAAGCCCAGCGCUGAAUCCUUUAGCCUCAGGCUACCAGGAAAUGUAGCGUAUAGGUGCAGCUAUUCGUUCUCUUCGCGCACCCAAAGUCCCCUUGAGCGGGGCUACAGUCCAUAGAAGGUGCUAGACCUGUACGGGUGGCGAGGUGUUCGAUUUGUUGCUCCUUGGAGUCGGGUUGCCUGAGAUCGCAGCCCAAAGAGGGUGGUAAACCUCAUCUAAGGCUAAAUAUGACCACGAGACCGAUAGCAAACAAGUACCGUGAGGGAAAGUUGCAAAGAACUUUGAAGAG